rnacentral:rRNA from 1 species
GAUGAACGCUGGCGGCGUGCCUAAUACAUGCAAGUCGAGCGAAUGGAUUAAGAGCUUGCUCUUAUGAAGUUAGCGGCGGACGGGUGAGUAACACGUGGGUAACCUGCCCAUAAGACUGGGAUAACUCCGGGAAACCGGGGCUAAUACCGGAUAACAUUUUGAACCGCAUGGUUCGAAAUUGAAAGGCGGUUUCGGCUGUCACUUAUGGAUGGACCCGCGUGGCAUUAGCUAGUUGGUGAGGUAACGGCACACCAAGGCAACGAUGCGUAGCCGACCUGAGAGGGUGAUCGGCAACACUGGGACUGAGACACGGCCCAGACUCCUACGGGAGGCAGCAGUAGGGAAUCUUCCGAAAUGGACGAAAGUCUGACGGAGCAACGCCGCGUGAGUGAUGAAGGCUUUCGGGUCGUAAAACUCUGUUGUUAGGGAAGAACAAGUGCUAGUUGAAUAAGCUGGCACCUUGACGGUACCUAACCAGAAAGCCACGGCUAACUACGUGCCAGCAGCCGCCGUAA